AGAGUUUGAUCCUGGCUCAGGAUGAACGCUAGCUACAGGCUUAACACAUGCAAGUCGAGGGGAAACGAUAGAGAAAGCUUGCUUUUUCUAGGCGUCGACCGGCGCACGGGUGAGUAACGCGUAUCCAACCUGCCCACCACUUGGGGAUAACCUUGCGAAAGUAAGACUAAUACCCAAUGAUAUCUCUAGAAGACAUCUGAAAGGGAUUAAAGAUUUAUCGGUGAUGGAUGGGGAUGCGUCUGAUUAGCUUGUUGGCGGGGUAACGGCCCACCAAGGCAACGAUCAGUAGGGGUUCUGAGAGGAAGGUCCCCCACAUUGGAACUGAGACACGGUCCAAACUCCUACGGGAGGCAGCAGUGAGGAAUAUUGGUCAAUGGGCGAGAGCCUGAACCAGCCAAGUAGCGUGCAGGAUGACGGCCCUAUGGGUUGUAAACUGCUUUUAUAAGGGAAUAAAGUGAGCCUCGUGAGGCUUUUUGCAUGUACCUUAUGAAUAAGGACCGGCUAAUUCCGUGCCAGCAGCCGCGGUAAUACGGAAGGUCCGGGCGUUAUCCGGAUUUAUUGGGUUUAAAGGGAGCGUAGGCCGGAGAUUAAGCGUGUUGUGAAAUGUAGAUGCUCAACAUCUGCACUGCAGCGCGAACUGGUUUCCUUGAGUACGCACAAAGUGGGCGGAAUUCGUGGUGUAGCGGUGAAAUGCUUAGAUAUCACGAAGAACUCCGAUUGCGAAGGCAGCUCACUGGAGCGCAACUGACGCUGAAGCUCGAAAGUGCGGGUAUCGAACAGGAUUAGAUACCCUGGUAGUCCGCACGGUAAACGAUGGAUGCCCGCUGUUGGUCUGAAUAGGUCAGCGGCCAAGCGAAAGCAUUAAGCA
rnacentral:rRNA from 1 species